UACGUAGGUGGCAAGCGUUGUCCGGAAUUACUGGGCGUAAAGGGCGUGUAGGCGGCUUUUUAAGUCAGACGUGAAAUCUCUGGGCUUAACCCAGAAAUUGCGUUUGAAACUGGAAGGCUUGAGGAUCGGAGAGGGUAGUGGAAUUCCCAGUGUAGCGGUGAAAUGCGUAGAUAUUGGGAGGAACACCAGUGGCGAAGGCGACUGCCUGGACGACACCUGACGCUGAGACGCGAAAGCCAGGGGAGCGAACGGG
rnacentral:rRNA from 1 species